rnacentral:tRNA from 1 species
GCCUGGCUGGCUCAGGGUAGAGCGUGUGACUCUUGAUCUUGGGGUUGUGAGUUCAAGCCCCACAUUGGGUG